GGUGCGUUUGGAAUUAGCAUUUCCAAACCCCUUUAGACCUCCAAAGCCCUUUGGGCUAAAAAAUUGGUGUUUGGCAAAAUAUUUUGUAAGGCAUUUGGCUGAAAGCCUGCCUUGUGAAGGCUGAAAGCCCAAGGCAGGGGCCUUGGGCAUUUCAGCUUUCUCGGUAAGCUGAUACUACUGUUCAUAUUUUUUUUUUUCCAAAAUUAUCCUUACGAACUAUUUGUUUUUCCGUUUUCUGCCCUUGUGAAGAUCACUGUUCAUCUUCUCCGUCGCCGAGG
rnacentral:lncRNA from 1 species